GUUGUAGCUGGCGAAGGCAAUGAGGCUGCCGAAGCCCAGGCCCAGCGAGAAGAAGAUCUGCGUGGCAGCGCUGAUCCAGGUCUUGGGGUUCGACAGCUGCUCCAGCUGCAAGAGCCAGAUGAGAGAGCAAGGCCAUGAAGCAUCACUCAGUGUUUUGAUGGAUCCUGCUUCAGCUGCAACUUGGCUGGGGAGCAGAGGCAGCAGAGCUCGGUGCUCCGGGGAGAAGCCGUGACCCCAAGGCCCAGCAGCCGCUCCUCGCUGCCUGUCAGGGCUGGUUUCCCUCCCCUGGCCCGGCAGGGCUGUGCCCCGCUCUCACCUUGCCGGUGGAGGCGGUGCCGCGGAGGAUGCAGAGGACUGAGCCUCUUUAACCUGCUCCCCUGGGGAUGACACUCUCCAGUCCUCUACCUUGCUGCCAAACCUCUCCCCUGACAUCAGACAAGCCCAUCCCAGGAUGAAGGACACCCCAGCACCAAGGCACGUGUGACCAAAGCAUCACAAGCCUGGCCUUGACCUGAAUUCCAUGGUGAGGAGAAGACAAUGGCCAAUGCCUCUAGGAAGACGAUGGAGAGGGACAUCACUGCCUCAUUUUUCCCUCCAGCAAAGCCCUCUGUUCCUGAAGCUUUUGACACCCUACCUCCCCCUCCCCAUUCCCAGCUGACAAUGGAGGCAUGCAACAUCCAGCACCAACACAAAGCCACUGUGACCCCCUGCAGCCACAGUGGGGCUAAACCGGCUGUUGG